rnacentral:rRNA from 1 species
GGGUUGUGAGGUUAAGCGACUAAGCGUACACGGUGGAUGCCCUGGCAGUCAGAGGCGAUGAAGGACGUGCUAAUCUGCGAUAAGCGUCGGUAAGGUGAUAUGAACCGUUAUAACCGGCGAUUUCCGAAUGGGGAAACCCAGUGUGAUUCGUCACACUAUCAUUAACUGAAUCCAUAGGUUAAUGAGGCGAACCGGGGGAACUGAAACAUCUAAGUACCCCGAGGAAAAGAAAUCAACCGAGAUUCCCCCAGUAGCGGCGAGCGAACGGGGAGCAGCCCAGAGCCUGAAUCAGUGUGUGUGUUAGUGGAAGCGUCUGGAAAGGCGUGCGAUACAGGGUGACAGCCCCGUACACAAAAAUGCACAUGCUGUGAGCUCGAUGAGUAGGGCGGGACACGUGGUAUCCUGUCUGAAUAUGGGGGGACCAUCCUCCAAGGCUAAAUACUCCUGACUGACCGAUAGUGAACCAGUACCGUGAGGGAAAGGCGAAAAGAACCCCGGCGAGGGGAGUGAAAAAGAACCUGAAACCGUGUACGUACAAGCAGUGGGAGCACAGAGCAAUCUGUGUGACUGCGUACCUUUUGUAUAAUGGGUCAGCGACUUAUAUUCUGUAGCAAGGUUAACCGAAUAGGGGAGCCGAAGGGAAACCGAGUCUUAACUGGGCGUUAAGUUGCAGGGUAUAGACCCGAAACCCGGUGAUCUAGCCAUGGGCAGGUUGAAGGUUGGGUAACACUAACUGGAGGACCGAACCGACUAAUGUUGAAAAAUUAGCGGAUGACUUGUGGCUGGGGGUGAAAGGCCAAUCAAACCGGGAGAUAGCUGGUUCUCCCCGAAAGCUAUUUAGGUAGCGCCUCGUGAAUUCAUCUCCGGGGGUAGAGCACUGUUUCGGCAAGGGGGUCAUCCCGACUUACCAACCCGAUGCAAACUGCGAAUACCGGAGAAUGUUAUCACGGGAGACACACGGCGGGUGCUAACGUCCGUCGUGAAGAGGGAAACAACCCAGACCGCCAGCUAAGGUCCCAAAGUCAUGGUUAAGUGGGAAACGAUGUGGGAAGGCCCAGACAGCCAGGAUGUUGGCUUAGAAGCAGCCAUCAUUUAAAGAAAGCGUAAUAGCUCACUGGUCGAGUCGGCCUGCGCGGAAGAUGUAACGGGGCUAAACCAUGCACCGAAGCUGCGGCAGCGACGCUUAUGCGUUGUUGGGUAGGGGAGCGUUCUGUAAGCCUGCGAAGGUGUGCUGUGAGGCAUGCUGGAGGUAUCAGAAGUGCGAAUGCUGACAUAAGUAACGAUAAAGCGGGUGAAAAGCCCGCUCGCCGGAAGACCAAGGGUUCCUGUCCAACGUUAAUCGGGGCAGGGUGAGUCGACCCCUAAGGCGAGGCCGAAAGGCGUAGUCGAUGGGAAACAGGUUAAUAUUCCUGUACUUGGUGUUACUGCGAAGGGGGGACGGAGAAGGCUAUGUUGGCCGGGCGACGGUUGUCCCGGUUUAAGCGUGUAGGCUGGUUUUCCAGGCAAAUUCGGAAAACUACGGCUGAGGCGUGAUGACGAGGCACUACGGUGCUGAAGCAACAAAUGCCCU